GCCGCCGUAGCUUAGUUGGUGGAGCGCCCGGCUGUUAACCGGGAGGUCGCCGGUUCGAAUCCGGCCGGCGGCGCCA
rnacentral:tRNA from 1 species